rnacentral:pre_miRNA from 9 species
UCUCGAUAGCGUAAAAGUUAACUCAAAUUUGUAUGGAGUUGGAACGUUUGCCUACGUUUGCCGUUAGGGGCGCUGUUCCAACUGCAUACAAAUUUGAGUGAACUUUUACGCUAUCGA